rnacentral:rRNA from 1 species
ACGAACGCUGGCGGCGUGCUUAACACAUGCAAGUCGAACGGAAAGGCCCUGCUUUUGUGGGGUGCUCGAGUGGCGAACGGGUGAGUAACACGUGAGUAACCUGCCCUUGACUUUGGGAUAACUUCAGGAAACUGGGGCUAAUACCGGAUAGGAGCUCCUGCUGCAUGGUGGGGGUUGGAAAGUUUCGGCGGUUGGGGAUGGACUCGCGGCUUAUCAGCUUGUUGGUGGGGUAGUGGCUUACCAAGGCUUUGACGGGUAGCCGGCCUGAGAGGGUGACCGGGUAGGGUAGGGCGUGUAUACCGACCAGACUGCUGCGGGUGGCGGGAGGGGGGAUGAUGGAACAGGGGGGCGAAGGCGGAGGCAGCACCGCGGGGUGGGGGAGUCCGGCCUUGGGGUUGCAAACCGCGUCCGUCUGGGAGGAAGCGGGGGGGAGGGUAAGGGGAAAAGGCCCACGGGAUAACGACGUGACGGCAGGGGCGGUAUUACGCGGAGAGCCCACGCCUGAUC